rnacentral:rRNA from 1 species
GACGAACGCUGGCGGCGUGCUUAACACAUGCAAGUCGAACGGCAAGGCCCUGCUUUUGUGGGGUGCUCGAGUGGCGAACGGGUGAGUAACACGUGAGUAACCUGCCCUUGACUUUGGGAUAACUUCAGGAAACUGGGGCUAAUACCGGAUAGCAGCUCCUGCUGCAUGGUGGGGGUUGGAACGUUUCGGCGGUUGGGGAUGGACUCGCGGCUUAUCAGCUUGUUGGUGGGGUAGUGGCUUACCAAGGCUUUGACGGGUAGCCGGCCUGAGAGGGUGACCGGCCACAAGGGGACUGAGAGACGGCGCAGAGUCCUACGGGAGGCAGUAGGGGGGAAUAUGGCACAAUGGGCGGAAGCCUGAGGCAGAAACGCCGGGGGCGGGAUGACGGCCUGCGGGGUGUAAACAGCUGUCGCCUGUGACGAAGCGUGAGUGACGGUAAUGGGUAAAGAAGCACCGGCUAACUACGUG